GAUGAACGCUGACAGAAUGCUUAACACAUGCAAGUCUACUUGAUCCUUCGGGUGAUGGUGGCGGACGGGUGAGUAACGCGUAAAGAACUUGCCCUGCAGUCUGGGACAACAUUUGGAAACGAAUGCUAAUACCGGAUAUUAUGUGAGUUUCGCAUGAAAUUCAUAUGAAAGCUAUAUGCGCUGCAGGAGAGCUUUGCGUCCUAUUAGCUAGUUGGUGAGGUAACGGCUCACCAAGGCGAUGAUAGGUAGCCGGCCUGAGAGGGUGAACGGCCACAAGGGGACUGAGACACGGCCCUUACUCCUACGGGAGGCAGCAGUGGGGAAUAUUGGACAAUGGACCAAAAGUCUGAUCCAGCAAUUCUGUGUGCACGAUGAAGUUUUUCGGAAUGUAAAGUGCUUUCAGUUGGGACGAAGUAAGUGACGGUACCAACAGAAGAAGCGACGGCUAAAUACGUGCCAGCAGCCGCGGUAAUACGUAUGUCGCAAGCGUUAUCCGGAUUUAUUGGGCGUAAAGCGCGUCUAGGCGGUUUGGUAAGUCUGAUGUGAAAAUGCGGGGCUUAACUCCGUAUUGCGUUGGAAACUGCCAAACUAGAGUACUGGAGAGGUGGGCGGAACUACAAGUGUAGAGGUGAAAUUCGUAGAUAUUUGUAGGAAUGCCGAUGGGGAAGCCAGCCCACUGGACAGAUACUGACGCUAAAGCGCGAAAGCGUGGGUAGCAAACAGG
rnacentral:rRNA from 1 species